rnacentral:rRNA from 1 species
UACGGAGGGGGCUAGCGUUGUUCGGAAUUACUGGGCGUAAAGGGCGCGUAGGCGGCGCGAUAAGUUGGGCGUGAAAGGCCCGGGCUCAACCCGGGGACUGCGCUUGAUACUGUCGCGCUGUGAGUCCGGGAGAGGAUGGCGGAAUUCCCAGUGUAGAGGUGAAAUUCGUAGAUAUUGGGAAGAACACCGGUGGCGAAGGCGGCUCACUGGCUCGUAACUGACGCUCAUGCACGACAGCGUGGGGAUCAAACAGG